AACGANCACUGGCGGCGUGGAUUAGGCAUGCAAGUCGAACGAGAAAGUUUCCUUCGGGAAACGAGUACAGUGGCGAACGGGUGAGUAACGCGUGGGAAACCUGCCCUACAAUGGGGGAUAACAGUUCUAACGAGCUGCUAAUACCGCAUACGACCUUUGGAACGCAUGUUUCGAAGGUGAAAGGUGGCCUCUCUUUGAAGCUGCCGUUGAAGGAUGGUCCCGCGUCCCAUUAGCUAGUUGGUGGGGUAAUGGCCUACCAAGGCGACGAUGGGUAGCCGGCCUGAGAGGGUGUCCGGCCACACUGGGACUGAGAUACGGCCCAGACUCCUACGGGAGGCAGCAGUCGAGAAGCUUCCGCAAUGGGCGAAAGCCUGACGGAGCGACGCCGCGUGAGUGAAGAAGGCCCUAUGGGUUGUAAAACUCUGUCAGAUUGGGAAGAAAAUUCUACGGUUAAUACCCGUGGAACUUGACGGUACCAUCAGAGGAAGCACCGGCUAACUCCGUGCCAGCAGCCGCGGUAAUACGGAGGGUGCAAGCGUUGUUCGGAAUUACUGGGCAUAAAGGGCGCGUAGGUGGUCAGAUAGGUCAGUGGUGAAAGCCCUCGGCCCAACCGGGGAAUUGCCUCUGAAGCCAUCUGACUAGAGUGCAAGAGGGGAGAGUGGAACUCGAGGUGGAGCGGUGACAUGCGUAGAUAUCUCGGGGAACGCCGGUGGCGAAAGCGACUCUCUGGUUUGCAACUGACACUGAGGCGCGAAAGCUAGGGGAGCGAACGGGAUUAGAUACCCCGGUAGUCCUAGCCGUAAACGAUGAGCACUUGGUAGAGGGGGUUCCAAGACCAUCUCUGCUGUAGCUAAUGUGUUAAGUGCUCCGCCUGGGGAGUACGGUCGCAAGGCUGAAACUCAAAUGAAUUGACGG
rnacentral:rRNA from 1 species